AUACUCCCUCUACGCUCCAUGUCUGAUGAAAUUACACAACUUCCCUCAUGAUCAGCAGUUUUGUAAUGUGCACAUCAUGAUAAUGGGUGGCGUCAAGGCGUCGUGGAAUGCCAUGGAGUUCUGGCCAGUUCGCGACAAGCCUGUGUUGAUGAACAUGCAGACCGUCCGGUCAGUCUUCCGUGUGGAUCAGGUGGAUUACGUCAGCUUUGCUGGCAGCAGUAGUUCCCCCCAGAAUACCUGUAUCUACCAGAAGGCCACGUGUGACUACCAAGGAUCUGAGGAUUGCCUGAGGACGAAUUUGCGAUGCUCGGAAGCGGAGA